rnacentral:rRNA from 1 species
GCUUACGGCCAUAUCAGCCUGGGUACGCCCGAUCUCGUCUGAUCUCGGAAGCUAAGCAGGGUCGGGCCUGGUUAGUACUUGGAUGGGAGACCCCCUGGGAAUACCAGGUGCUGUAAGCA